UAAUGCCGGAUGCUCCAGUUGAUCGCAUGGUCUUCUGGGAAAGCUUUCGCGGUAUGGGAUGGGGUCGCGUCCUAUCAGCUUGACGGCGGGGUAACGGCCCACCGUGGCUUCGACGGGUAGCCGGCCUGAGAGGGCGACCGGCCACAUUGGGACUGAGAUACGGCCCAGACUCCUACGGGAGGCAGCAGUGGGGAAUAUUGCACAAUGGGCGCAAGCCUGAUGCAGCGACGCCGCGUGAGGGAUGGAGGCCUUCGGGUUGUAAACCUCUUUUAUCGGGGAGCAAGCGAGAGUGAGUUUACCCGUUGAAUAAGCACCGGCUAACUACGUGCCAGCAGCCGCGGUAAUACGUAGGGUGCAAGCGUUAUCCGGAAUUAUUGGGCGUAAAGGGCUCGUAGGCGGUUCGUCGCGUCCGGUGUGAAAGUCCAUCGCUUAACGGUGGAUCCGCGCCGGGUACGGGCGGGCUUGAGUGCGGUAGGGGAGACUGGAAUUCCCGGUGUAACGGUGGAAUGUGUAGAUAUCGGAA
rnacentral:rRNA from 1 species